rnacentral:rRNA from 1 species
UACGUAGGGUGCGAGCGUUAAUCGGAAUUACUGGGCGUAAAGCGUGCGCAGGCGGUUCUCCAAGUCCGUUGUGAAAGCCCCGGGCUCAACCUGGGAAUGGCAGUGGAAACUAGGGGACUGGAAUCUGGCAGAGGGGGGUGGAAUGCCGCGUGUAGCAGUGAAAUGCGUAGAGAUGCGGCGGAACACCGAUGGCGAAGGCAGCCCCCUGGGCCAAUACUGACGCUCAUGCACGAAAGCGUGGGGAGCAAACAGG